GUGCAAGCCUGCGGGAGGAAAGACUCUGGUGGUGCAGCCAGCCUCGGCGGCCUUCAGGAGGGGGGGGAUUUAGAAAGGAGACCGGAGGGCUGAGGGGAGAUCUGGGCUACGCGCCUCCUCCCGGUGGAAAUUGAUGAGGAAUGUACCCGAAAAGGAACAAAACCGUUGGUGAAUCUCGUGGAAUUCGCCCAGAUUCUGGCACUUACGGCAGAACCAGAUAGAUUUUGGCGUGACCAAGCAGCGCGAAGCCGCAGCCUAGAGAAACGAGCUGAAAAUGCACAGCGGCAGCAGCAAAAAACCCCAGCAGUCCGCAAGGGAGUUUCAGAAAGUCUUCCCAGCCAAGUGAUGCCUUGGACUGCCAACUUCAGGUUUAGGUGCAAUUAGUGCGUCCCCACCUGUCCCGCCCCCGCGCUUCUUGCCUGGUUUCGGGACUUGGGAAGGGAGAGAGCCAACUUGAAGGAGAAGGAAAAGAAAGGGAAAAAAAGGGAUUGGUGGAGAAGAGAUUCAUUCUUGAUUCAUUACUUUUCUUCUCCCCAAAUUAAAGCAGAGGGACGAAAACAGCAGCUAAGGCAUCCUAGAAACAAAAGGCAAAUAGCGAGGAUGUGAGUCACCCGGAAAGCGGACCCGCCCCCCUCACCAGAUGUGGCAGCGGUGUGUCAGUGCAAGUCCUUUAGGCUGGGAGAGUUCCCGGGGUGGGGGUGGGAGGCAGGCCGCCGGAAAAGAACCGAAGUUUGGUACUGAAGUCUGACGCCCCAGGGGGCACCGGGUAGGCAGGGAGCAGUUGGGGUAGGAGACACGGACUCCUGGAGUACAAGGAGGAUACCUUGGAGAGGUUUGCGGUCCUGAAAGCUCUGUGGUUCUCUCCAGGACUCAAUAUCUCCUUUGUCCCAAUCCAAUUGGAGAAAACAGUUGGGAAAACUAAGAUCUGGUAAUAUAAAAAGAAUAGAAUAAGGAAAUACCCAAGUUUGUGCCUAUGACUUGGGCCUUUAGUGUGAAGAAAGGCCCCAACUUUUCAGUGGAUUAUUGAUGACUUUGGUGGAAGAGAAAGUCUGUAGAGCCAACAGCAAAAAUGGCCCAGACAAGACCUGUUUUGUUCAUCUGCAUCUUCAGCACGUUUAUCUAAAUCUCCUGUUCGUAUUUUUAAGUGUGUUUUGUAUCAUGAAUGUGAAGCACUUCAAAAAAAGAAUCUCAAACGCUGUAGUCAUGUUCUGUAUCCCAAUGAUGGUGGUGGUUGUAGUUUCAUAAAUCUGUACGCAUGUUAAAAUUCAUAGAACUUUGUACACCAAAAAGAGUCAGUUUUACUGUAUGAUAAAUUUUGAAACAAAAUUAAUUACUCAUGAGAGAAAAAAAACUGUAAUAAUUCUGCAGCAUGAUAUUCAUUUUGGUUCUGCUCUGUUAAGGAAAGUGAGAAUCACUUUAGGAUUUAGAAAGAUAUUCUCAUCUGAUUAGCCAAUCAGCUUGGUAAUAUGGAUAUAUCAUUAGUAUUAAUGUCUUGUUAUUGGUAUUGUUAUUCUGUUUUACAAAUGAAAACAUUGGGGCUCUGAGCUAAGAAUAACUACCUUUGACAGUGUCUUUUACUUUCCAAGCCCUGUGCUGAUGACUUUAUAGAAAUUAUGUCAUUUGCUCUUCCCAUCAGUACUAAGGUAGAUCCUCUCCUUAGUUUUACAGAGGAGAAAAUAGAGGCAAAAAUAAAUUAUGUAACUUGUUCAGAUGUGUGGUAGAGGUGAGGACCAGACACAGAUUUGUCUGCUCCUUAUAUAAUAUCUCACAUUCCACCUCUAGGUGAGAUUGAGGAGUUUGUGCAGAGUCCUACUCUGUUUCACUUUGGCAGAACCAAAGCCUCACCCCUGGCUCUGCUUAAUUUCUUCUACCUGCCUACAGCUAGAAGCUGGUUAUGGCUGCUGAAGCAGGACUCAGGAAUUUGGGGGCAUUUUUAGCUCCAUCACUUACUUAUUGUGCAGCUUCUAUAUACCCCUGAUUCUUAAUCUGUAAAAUAGGACCACUAAUAAAAUGUUAUUUCUGUGA